CCUACGGGUGGCAGCGGUGGGGAAUAUUGGACAAUGGGCGAAAGCCUGAUCCAGCCAUGCCGCGUGUGUGAAGAAGGCCUUCGGGUUGUAAAGCACUUUCAGUGGGGAAGAAAGCCUUGGGGCUAAUACCCUCGAGGAAGGACAUCACCCACAGAAGAAGCACCGGCUAACUCCGUGCCAGCAGCCGCGGUAAUACGGAGGGUGCGAGCGUUAAUCGGAAUUACUGGGCGUAAAGCGCGCGUAGGCGGUCUGAUAAGCCGGUUGUGAAAGCCCCGGGCUCAACCUGGGAACGGCAUCCGGAACUGUCAGGCUAGAGUGCAGGAGAGGAAGGUAGAAUUCCCGGUGUAGCGGUGAAAUGCGUAGAGAUCGGGAGGAAUACCAGUGGCGAAGGCGGCCUUCUGGACUGACACUGACGCUGAGGUGCGAAAGCGUGGGUAGCAAACAGGAUUAGAUACCCUAGUAGUC
rnacentral:rRNA from 1 species